rnacentral:rRNA from 1 species
AGAGUUUGACCCUGGCUUAGGACGAACGCUGGCGGCGUGCCUAACACAUGCAAGUCGAGCGGAGAUAUAUUGAAGGUUUACCAGAUAUAUAUCUUAGCGGCGGACGGGUGAGUAACGCGUGGGCAACCUGCCUUAUACAGGGGGAUAACACAGGGAAACUUUGUGCUAAUACCGCAUAAUAUCAUUGUAUGGCAUCAUACGAUGAUCAAAGGAGCAAUCCGGUAUGAGAUGGGCCCGCGUCCGAUUAGCUAGUUGGUGGGGUAACAGCUCACCAAGGCGACGAUCGGUAGCCGAACUGAGAGGUUGAUCGGCCACAUUGGGACUGAGACACGGCCCAGACUCCUACGGGAGGCAGCAGUGGGGAAUAUUGCGCAAUGGGGGGAAACCCUGACGCAGCAACGCCGCGUGAAGGAUGAAGGCCUUCGGGUUGUAAACUUCUUUGAUUGGGGAAGAAGAAAGUGACUGUACCCAAAAAACAAGCCACGGCUAACUACGUGCCAGCCGCUGC